GACGAACCGUGCGAACGUUAUUCGGAAUCACUGGGCUUAAAGCGCGUGUAGGCGGGACGGCACGUCGGUCGCUGAAAUCCCCCGGCUUAACCGGGGAACGGGCGUCGAUACGACCGUCCUGGAGGGGCGUAGGGGGACCUGGAACUUCCGGUGGAGCGGUGAAAUGCGUUGAGAUCGGAAGGAACGCCCGUGGCGAAAGCGAGGUCCUGGACGCCUACUGACGCUGAGACGCGAAAGCCAGGGGAGCGAACAGG
rnacentral:rRNA from 1 species